rnacentral:pre_miRNA from 1 species
CAAAAAGACAAACCUGAUUACCGUGUCUAAUAUUUAACUGUCCGUUUUAUUUGAAAAAAUUAUGAAAAAAAAAUAAAAAGACAAGUUACGCAUAAAAUAUUAAUCAUGUUUUAUCAUCUAACAACAAUGAAAAUACGAAUUAUAAAAAAAUUUCAUAUAAGACGGAUAGUCAAAGUUAGACACGGAAAACUAGAGUUUGCCUUUUU